GGGGAUGCUAGGUUUCGACAGAAAUAUGAGAGUAUUGGUGGCAAGUCGGAGGAACACGUUACGAACAAAAUUAAAAUAACUGGAAACAGAAAUCAAUUAGCUUUCGCUUAAAUUUAAGAAAGCGCUUCAUUUAAUUCUUUCCCAUGGAAUUACUUGGGGCUCAUUUAAUGGGAUAUAUUAGUUUAUUUGUCUAGAUAUACUAAUGAAUAAUAAUGGCUUACUAAAGUAAGGAUUGCUGGUUAUCAACUUUCUUUGGGACAUUUAUUAAUCAGAUAAACUUGUAGAAGCUGGUAGAUGAUUAUUUUUGGACAGGAUUUCAAUAUCCUCAUCUCCACCA
rnacentral:tmRNA from 1 species